AAGUGGAUUAGCGGCGCACGGGUGAGUAACGCAUAGGUUAUGUGCCCUUUAGUCUGGGAUAGCCACUGGAAACGGUGAUUAAUACUAGAUACCUCCUACGGGGGAAAGUUUUUCGGUAAAGGAUCAGCCUAUGUCCUAUCAGCUUGUUGGUGAGGUAAUGGCUCACCAAGGCUAUGACGGGUAUCCGGCCUGAGAGGGUGAUCGGACACACUGGAACUGAGACACGGUCCAGACUCCUACGGGAGGCAGCAGUAGGGAAUAUUGCUCAAUGGGGGAAACCCUGAAGCAGCAACGCCGCGUGGAGGAUGAAGGUUUUAGGAUUGUAAACUCCUUUUGUAAGAGAAGAUU
rnacentral:rRNA from 1 species